AUUGAACGCUGGCGGCAGGCCUAACACAUGCAAGUCGAACGAGUGGCGGACGGGUGAAUAAUGUCUGGGAAACUGCCCGAUGGAGGGGGAUCAAUUCGAGAAACGGUAGCUAAUACCGCAUACCAUCGGGAGCGCACAGAUGGGCUUAGCUAGUAGGUGGGGUAACGCCUCCCCUAGGCGACGAUCCCUAGCUGGUCUGAGAGGAUGACCAGCCAAACUGGAACUGAGACACGGUCCAGACUCCUACGGUAGGCAGCAGUGGGGAAUAUUGAACAAUGGGCGCAAGCCUGAUGCAGCCAUGCCGCGUGUAUGAAGAAGGCCUUCGGGUUGUAAAGCACUUUCAGUGAGGAGGCGUUACUAGCAGAAGAAGCACCGGCUAACUCCGUGCCAGCCGCCGCGGUAAUUC
rnacentral:rRNA from 1 species